rnacentral:rRNA from 1 species
UACGGGGGGGGGCAAGCGUUGUUCGGAAUUACUGGGCGUAAAGGGCUCGUAGGUGGCCAACUAAGUCAGACGUGAAAUCCCUCAGCUUAACUGGGGAACUGCGUCUGAUACUGGAUGGCUUGAGUUUGGGAGAGGGAUGCGGAAUUCCAGGUGUAGCGGUGAAAUGCGCAGAUAUCAGGAGGAACACCGGUGGCGAAGGCGGGUCUCUGGGCCGAUACUGACGCUGAGGAGCGAAAGCGUGGGGAGCGAACAGG